CAUGAGAAGUCAUCACUGAAAGAGGAGCCUUCCAUCUUUUUCUGCCUGCAGGAAGACAAACCUUUAUAUUGAAAUCAGGGGUGGGAAGGAACCUGAGAGCUCCACUCCGCAGGCUACCAUGCCCUGAGUUUUUUCAGCUGUUAUUUUCUGAGGAACACUGAGCCAGCCCAGUGAGAGGCGGGUGACAAGGCUCCACGUGCACCCAGUCCAACAGUGCAAAUACAAGGGCUGGAAGGAGGCUCAAGACUGGAUGCUUCCCAGUUAACCCACAGGCAAGGCUGAGGAGACUGUGUCUUGCUAUCCCCAGGAGGAAGUAGGGGAACCAGGCACACAAGGAGACUGAAGAGAUCCCAAUGAAUCUCCGAGUGGUGAUUAGUGGAUUACGUGCAUCCCAGGGCCUGCCUCCAAUCACUUUCCCCUGCAAAUUGCUCAGCCCCGAUGCAGCAGCACAGAGCAAAGUGGGCUCUGUCGCCAGGGCCUGGUCCUCAUUAUGGCCAGGAGACGGCAGGAGUUUGUUUACACGGCUGGAACAUCAUCCUCCCGGGCAGCUCAUCAGCCUUUCCCCAGGGUUUCUGCUCACUGAAUGCUUCGAAGUAAUCACCACCAGCUACCUACACCCCGAGCAGCAUCUCAGCAAUUCACCAAGUCAACUGACAACAGCUUGAGGUAAUAUUAGCCCCCUUACAGGAAGGCAAGUGCUCUCCACACAAGGAUGCUGGAGCUUAGCACCACUCAAUAAAUCAGAGCAGCAUCCUGGAAAGCCUGCCAUUAGU